AGCAGUCCAACUGCCUCAGCCUCCCAAAGAUUUGGGAUUACAGGCGUGAGCCAUCAGGCCGAGCAUUCAUACUUACUUUUGAAUAAUGAGUUUCGGAAACUAUAGAGAUUUAGCUACAAAGUUAAUUCUCCCUCAACACUUUACAAAAUAUUGCACCAAUACCUUCAAUUGUUCGUUGUUGAUUAUAAGGAAUCUGUCGUGACACGUACUUCAGAAUUCACAAGGCAACAGGAAAAAAAAAGGUUCAUGAGGGAAGAAAACCAAGUGAAUAACCCAGGAAAGUUGGUGAACUGUGACAUGUGUUGGACUCAUGUGAACCAUGAAUAUGUAUUACAGGGCUAGUAAAUCAAACCCCCAAAAACUUUCUCCACCGAACUUCACCUGUAACCUCUACCAUUUAAAGGAAUUUCCAUUUCUGUGAGGUUCCCAAGAUUUGCUAAACCUACCAGCCUGGUCGUAGGACAUGA
rnacentral:lncRNA from 1 species